rnacentral:rRNA from 1 species
CGCGUAGGCGGCGCGACAAGUCAGGCGUGAAAGCCCCGGGCUCAACCCGGGAAUUGCGCUUGAUACUGUCGUGCUUGAGGCCGGGAGAGGAUGGCGGAAUUCCCAGUGUAGAGGUGAAAUUCGUAGAUAUUGGGAAGAACACCGGUGGCGAAGGCGGCCAUCUGGACCGGUUCUGACGCUGAGGCGCGAAAGCGUGGGGAGCAAACAGGAUUAGAUACCCUGGUAGUCCACGCCGUAAACGAUGAGUGCUAGACGUCGGGGGGUUCACCUUCCGGUGUCGCAGCUAACGCUUUAAGCACUCCGCCUGGGGAGUACGGUCGCAAGAUUAAA